rnacentral:lncRNA from 1 species
CUGAAACCCUGAGUCAGAACCUAGAGAAACCUAGGAUAAAAGGAAGUCACAGGCAUAGAACAAUUGGAAGUCUCACUGAGGAAAGAAUGCUCUGCCUCAGACCCGGACAGUCGGCACUCCCCCGCACCAUACAAACUACUGGGACUUCCCUGGCUGAUUGCGGUGUGGAUGUUUUUCAGAUUUAAAAUGUCCAUGCAGCUCAGAAGAGCACUUUGUAAUAUUAGAAACAGAAACCCCAUUCUAUCAAGCCAGCUGCUUCAGGAUGGUGGGGAACAUGAUAUGACCAGUGAAUUCCAUGAGCAAGGACCCAUUGCUGCACUUCUUUUGCUGUGAAGUGAAAUCCAUGAUCAGAAGCAAUGUUGUGUUGAAUACCAGAACGGUGGAAAAGGCAUUCUGUAAGUCCACAGGUCCACAGAUGACUCAUCAACGAGGAAGGAAAGAGCAAUCACACAACUGGCAAGAGCCAGCAUACACAGCACACC